GACAUCAGGAGGUUAGUGCAAUGGCAUAAGCUAGCUUGACUGCGAGCGUGACGGCGCGAGCAGGUGCGAAAGCAGGUCAUAGUGAUCCGGUGGUUCUGAAUGGAAGGGCCAUCGCUCAACGGAUAAAAGGUACUCCGGGGAUAACAGGCUGAUACCGCCCAAGAGUUCAUAUCGACGGCGGUGUUUGGCACCUCGAUGUCGGCUCAUCACAUCCUGGGGCUGAAGUAGGUCCCAAGGGUAUGGCUGUUCGCCAUUUAAAGUGGUACGCGAGCUGGGUUUAGAACGUCGUGAGACAGUUCGGUCCCUAUCUGCCGUGGGCGCUGGAGAAUUGAGGGGGGCUGCUCCUAGUACGAGAGGACCGGAGUGGACGCAUCACUGGUGUUCGGGUUGUCAUGCCAAUGGCACUGCCCGGUAGCUAAAUGCGGAAGAGAUAAGUGCUGAAAGCAUCUAAGCACGAAACUUGCCCCGAGAUGAGUUCUCCCUGAGACUU
rnacentral:rRNA from 1 species